AACGAACGCUGGCGGCAUGCCUAACACAUGCAAGUCGAACGAGACCUUCGGGUCUAGUGGCGCACGGGUGCGUAACGCGUGGGAACCUGCCCUUAGGUUCGGAAUAACUCCCCGAAAGGGGUGCUAAUACCGGAUAAUGUCUUCGGACCAAAGAUUUAUCGCCUUUGGAUGGGCCCGCGUUGGAUUAGCUAGUUGGUAGGGUAAAAGCCUACCAAGGCGACGAUCCAUAGCUGGUCUGAGAGGAUGAUCAGCCACACUGGGACUGAGACACGGCCCAGACUCCUACGGGAGGCAGCAGUGGGGAAUAUUGGACAAUGGGCGAAAGCCUGACACAGCAAUGCCGCGUGAGUGAUGAAGGCCUUAGGGUUGUAAAGCUCUUUUACCCGGGAUGAUAAUGACAGUACCGGGAGAAUAAGCGCCGGCUAACUCCGUG
rnacentral:rRNA from 1 species